GCAAACUUGGUCAUUUAGAGGAAGUAAAAGUCGUAACAAGGUUACUUACCGGUUGACUCACCUCUCUGGAAGCCUUGAAUGGAGUCUGCAUAUUUGUAGGCAACACCAGCCUGUUGCUAGAAUCCCUUUGCUACAAGGUUCCUAGCAGUCGUGGUAACACGAUUCACAGAUCAAGUACUGGUGGUUCACUGUGUGAAUUCUAACAUGACCGGUUCUUUUCUUACCAGGAAGAGAAGUAUAACGUUCCGUAGGUGAACCUGCGGAAGGAUCAUUACAGAGUUAGGGUCUUAUAGGCCCGAUCUCCAACCCCUUGUUUAAUUACCAUGUUGCUUUGGUAGGCCCCAAAGCCCCUAAAACUUUGGACCAGUGCCUACCAAUAGCCUUGACAAAUCCUUGAUUGAAUAAUGAUGUCUGAGUAUCAACUUAAUAGUUAAAACUUUCAACAACGGAUCUCUUGGUUCUGGCAUCGAUGAAGAACGCAGC
rnacentral:misc_RNA from 1 species